GUCCCUGUGGCUAAAUCAGUUAAAGGGCCUGACUCAUAACAGGAAAUCCUGGGUUUAAUUCCCAGUAGGACCU
rnacentral:tRNA from 1 species